CAAUGACGAUGUAAGUGAAGGGUAUCUUUGAGGUCUUGGAAUGACUUUGUGACAUAAAUAUGACACGUUUGCUAACAAGCUGUGCUUGGAGCGUCCAUUUUGGAGUGCUGCUCGUUACUCGUACUCCACUUUGGACACAUCAGGCAGAUUCCAUCACACAAGAACUUGGAACAUGCAGAGCAAGAUAGACAUACCGGGCAACAUGCAGAGCAAGGUAGACAUCCCGGCCAAGAAGCCUUCAAAGACCUUCAUCCUCCUGGUGGCCGUCAUACUCUUGGUCUUCAUCAUUGGACUCGUCUUCAUCUUCAUGACAUCGGCGGGACCAGUGAACAUCGAGAGCUGCUGAGGACUCCUCCAGCCGGGGGAGGGGGGGGUCAUCUGGCCAGCACACCAGGAGCCGAUCUUCAAUCAGGCUAACUUUAGCGCCUUUUGUUAGCAUUAAAUACCCUUUUUUUCACCAUCUUCGUCUCUGCUCUGAGGUCCGCAACACCUGGUGCACGUACCAGCCCUUGUAACA